UGAUUAGAUUAAGAUAUAAGAUAUUUAGAUUGACUAUCACUGGGUGUUUUUUUAAAAUUUGAUUAUUUCUGGAUGUUUUAAUUUUUUCAAUUUGCUUAUUUAUGGUUUACUGUUUUUCUGCAAUGAAUGUCCAUUUCCUUUAUAAUAAUUUUAAAAACUGGGUAAUUAUGUGAAAAUAAAAGGAUAGAAGCAAAGGUAUUAAUAAGUUCUGAAUUCACUGGAAUUAAACUGUAGCUGAUCAUUAACAAAUAAAUCAUAAAGUGCCAGCAUUUGCCUUGAAUUAACUAGAUUUAGUUUUUCUGCCAUCAGCGGUAAUAAGGCCUAGAAUUAAAAGUGACUUGAGUUACAGUAAAGUUACAAUUCUGGCAUUACCUGUCUCUGAACUAUGAAAUCUGUACUUGUUAUGUGUUUAUAUGUGUGUCUAGCAAGUAUUUGGAAAGGUAUCCACUAAAUUUAAAAGUGGUCCUGUUCAGCAGGGUGGGAUUAGAGGAAGAUAAUUAAUUUUUUCUUGAUGCUACUCUGUAUCAUUUGACUAAUUAGAACAAGCAUGCAAAAAAUCUAAGUAUCUUUAACAAGCAUUAUUAUGAAUAUUUAGAAAUGUGAAGUCUAUCUAUGGUACGGUGAGAAAAAAAAUCAUAAUGCAAAAUAUACUAUAUCAUGUACCUACUGGUGGGAAAGGCCUGGGUGGGAAUACUCUAUCAUGAAAAUAGUUUUUCCAGUUCAUUUAUUAGUUCCUUUAUUCCACAAAUAUUUGUUGAGCACCAACUAAGCGCUAGGCUCUUGGGAGACAGCAAGGAAUCAAAUAGCCAAAUACGGCCCCCCUCAUGGAAUUUAUAUGGCAGUAGGGGCAGACGGACAAUAAGCAGUAAGCAUAAUAAAUAUGUCGGUUAAGUGAGUGCUAUGGAGAAACCGGAGCUGAUGAAGACAGACUGGCACUGCUGAGUGAAGAGGAGGGUUACAGGGGUUGAUCAGGGAAGGUCUCACUGAGCUGACAUUUGAGAAAACGUCUGAAAAGAGGUGAGGGUUGAGUCAGGCAAAUAUCUGGAAGAGCCUUCUAAGCAGAGGGAGCCACCAGUGCCAAGGUCCUGAAGUGGGCUCAAGGAAAACCAAUGAAGGCAGUGUGGCCGAGUCAGACUAAGCAGAGGGAGAGCAGGUCAGAGAGAAGCAGGGCAGCUACUAGGUGUUGGGCUCUGUAAGGAGUUUGGCUUUUCACUCCAAGUGAACAGGGAAACCAAUGCCAGGAUCCCUCCGGGUGUUGUAUGGAGAUUAGGCUUUUGGGGGAGGGGUUGUACAGCAGAGACCUGAUUGGGUGACAGAUGCAGGUUGCUGUGGGGAUGCUAAGGUGUUGGAUACUAGAUAUAGUUUGAAUGCACAGUCAACAAAAUUUCCCAGUUGGGUAGAGGAUGUGAGAGGAGUGUAUGAGGAUGAGUCUUAAGGUUUGGGCCUGAAUAAAUGAAGUGGAGUUGCUGUUAAUUCACAUGAGAAGGACAGCUGGAUGCAGUAGGUUUGAGUUGGAGAAAGAACUUAUUUGUGAACCUGUUAUGUUUGAGUGUAACAGCAAUAUAAGUUCUGUUUAAAGAAUGUUUCUAAUAUGACAUCUUUCCAAAUAAAUCAUUUCAAGACUCCUGA